rnacentral:rRNA from 1 species
GAUGAACGCUAGCGGGAGGCUUAACACAUGCAAGUCGAGGGGUAGGGAAGCAAUUCCUGAGACCGGCGGACGGGUGCGUAACGCGUAUGCAACCUGCCUUAUACAGGGGGAUAGCCCAUGGAAACGUGGAUUAACACCCCAUAGGAUUACGGGAUCGCAUGAUUUUGUGAUUAAAACUGAGGUGGUAUAAGAUGGGCAUGCGUCUGAUUAGGUAGUUGGUAGGGUAAUGGCCUACCAAGCCGACGAUCAGUAGGGGUUCUGAGAGGAUUACCCCCCACACGGGUACUGAGAGACGGACCAGACUCCUACGGGAGGCAGCAGUGAGGAAUAUUGGUCAAUGGCCGGAAGGCUGAACCAGCCAUCCCGCGUGCAGGAUGACGGCCCUAUGGGUUGUAAACUGCUUUUGUACCUGAAGAAUAGGCCCAACGAGUUGGGAUUUGCCGGUAAGGUAUGAAUAAGCAUCGGCUAACUCCGUGCCAGCAGCCGCCGUAAAAC